rnacentral:rRNA from 1 species
GUCACAAAGUGGUGGUCACGAAUAAUUGGGAUCUAAGCAUCCGUAGCCGGUUAUUAAGUCUCCUGUGAAUCUGACAGAAAACUGUCAGGCGUGCAGGAGAUACUGAUGAACUAGGAACCGGGAGGGGUUAGGGGUACUUCUAGGGUAGCGGUGGAAUGCUGUAAUCCUAGAGGGACCACCUGUGGCGAAGGCGCCUAACUGGAACGGAUUCGACGGUGAGGGAUGAAAGCUAGGGGAGCAAAGGGGAUUAGAUACCCCCGUAGUCCUAGCUGUAAACGAUGCCCGCUUGGUACUGGGAACCUUACGUGGGUUUCCAGUGCCGUAGGGAAGCCGUUAAGCGGGCCACCUGGGGAGUACGGUCGCAAGGCUGAAACUUAAAGGAAUUGGCGGGGGAGCACACAAGGGGUGUAGUCUGCGGUUUAAUUGGACUCAACGCCGGGAAUCUCACCAGGGGUGACAGCACUGUGAUGGUCAGUCUAAAGGGCUUACCUGAGGCGCUGAGAGGUAUUGCAUGGCCGACGUCAGCUCGUGCCGCGAGGUGUCCUGUUAAGUCAGGUAACGAGCGAGACCCGCACUUUAUGUUGCUAGCUUGUUCUUCGGAACUCGCGCACUCAUAAAGUACUGCUCGCGAUAAGUGAGAGGAAGGUGCGGUCAACGUUAGGUCAGUAUGGUCCGAAUCCCUUGGGCGACACGCGGGCGACAAUGGUAGGGACAAUAGGAUGCAACUCCGAAAGGAGGAGCUAAUCCCUGAAACCCUAUCUUAGUACAGAUUGUGGUUUGCAACUCAACCACAUGACGCCGGAAUCCCUAGUAAUCGAAAGUUAGCAUCUUUCGGUGAAUACGUCCCUGCUCC